rnacentral:rRNA from 1 species
UACGAAGGGGGCUAGCGUUGUUCGGAAUUACUGGGCGUAAAGCGCACGUAGGCGGGUAUUUAAGUCAGGGGUGAAAUCCCGGAGCUCAACUCCGGAACUGCCUUUGAUACUGGGUACCUAGAGUAUGGAAGAGGUAAGUGGAAUUCCGAGUGUAGAGGUGAAAUUCGUAGAUAUUCGGAGGAACACCAGUGGCGAAGGCGGCUUACUGGUCCGGUACUGACGCUGAGGUGCGAAAGCGUGGGGAGCAAACAGG